rnacentral:tRNA from 1 species
CAAAGUAUAGCUAAAUUAGUAUAGUGCUUCAGUUACGUUGAAGAGAAUUAUCGUGCAAAUCGAUUUACUUUGA